CAAAUACCAUGGAUACUUCAAAGAACUUUAAGAACGUACCACAGCACAUAUCAACUCGUUCGCAGUGGAGGUUUGCUUGCAACAUGUAUGAUGGAAUUUUUUCUUCAAUACCUUCAAGAUUGUAAAUGACUGUCUGGUCCACAAAAAUACCAAAUACUCGAGUAGCAGCUUACUCAUAGUUCUGAGAGUCCGAAGCGAUGACUGUCUGGAUGUAGGGGUUAUUAAGUCUUAUAAUUUCACAUCCAGUGGCGAUGCAGUGCUUCAAGUUGAAGUGUUUUCUGCAAGGAGAAGCUUGCUAAGGGAACUAUUUUCCAUAAAUUAUUUUUU